rnacentral:tmRNA from 1 species
GGGGGCGCAACGGAUUCGACGGGAUUGAAUCGUUAUGGAGAGGCGUGCCGGGUUCCGAGCUCCCGUUAAACGAUCGGAAAAACACAACUGCCAAUACGCAGUUUGCAUACGCUGCUUAAUUAAUUAAGUAGCCGCUCCAGCCGCUGAGCCCGCGCGGCGGUGAGUGAGCGUCAUUUUGCGGGAUAGGCAGCAGGCUUCGGUCCGGAGCCGAGGGCCGAGAUCAAUCGGACUAGGUGGCGGCUGUUCUCGCCGGCUCUGACGGCCGCGACCGAAUCAUUCGAGCCGGAUACGCAUCGUAGUCUCUUCAUGGCGGGCUUUCUCGGACGCGGGUUCAACUCCCGCCGCCUCCACCA